GGAGGGUGUAGCUCAGUGGUAGAGUGUGUGCUUCACAUGCAUGAGGUCCUGGGUUCAAUCCCCAGUACCUCCA
rnacentral:tRNA from 1 species